UCCAAUUUCUUUGGUAGUUCAUAUGAGGAAGUAAGUACUAUCUGCUUUCGCAGAGAUCUUUAUUUUAUUCACAUUCCGAAUGUGAAGCACCUUUUUCUUCUCUCAUAUAUCUUCUACUUCUUAUUAGUCACACUUUUACAACGAUUGUAAAACAUAGUUACUAAUACGAAAUCAAGCAUUCAAGUAGAAGAACCAACUGUUUUGAAUUAUUCAAGAACAAUUUACAACACAUUCGAAAGGUGUGUUCUUGACACUUGCAAGACAUUUCUUGCAAAUACCCCUUCCAAUGUCCAUCCUUUCAUAAAGAAAGUUUGUUCCCUUGGAGUUAAUUUUAUAUUCUUCAUUUGACUUCUCCUUUGACUACAAUAGUCAUGAUCCCUAAACUCCCACUAUCUCUCUUGAAACCUUUUUCAAUUGUGUUAUACACAUCAAACAUUUUGGAGAGCAUGUGUUUAUUGUUCACUAUAUAUAGUUUACAAUAAACUUAGUGAACCAUUAGGAUAGGGACAUAAAGGUGAAGUCCUUG
rnacentral:lncRNA from 1 species